rnacentral:rRNA from 1 species
AGUGAACGCUGGCGGCGGGCCUAACACAUGCAAGUCGAGCGGCCGCACGGGGGCAACGCUUGCGGCGAGCGGCGGACGGGUGAGUGAUUCGUCGGAAUCUGCCUUUUUGUGGGGGAUGACGUAGGGACACUUACGCUAAUCCCGCAUACGUCAUACGGGUGAACGUGAGGGACCGAAAGGCCUCGCCCGGCAAGAUGACCCGACGACAGAUUAGCUAGUUGGUGGGGUAAAGGCCCACCAAGGCGACGAUCGGUAGCUGGUCUGAGAGGAUGAUCAGCCACACUGGGACUGAGACACGGCCCAGACUCCUACGCGAGGCAGCAGUGGGGAAUCUUCGACAAUGGGCGCAAGCCUGAUCCAGCCAUGCCGCGUGUGUGAAGAAGGCCUUCGGGUUGUAAAGCACUUUUGUUCGGAAAGAAAACACGGGUGCGAAUACCUGCGGGGGAUGACGGUACCGGAAGAAUAAGCAACGGCUAACUACGUG